rnacentral:rRNA from 1 species
UACGGAGGGUGCAAGCGUUGCUCGGAAUUAUUGGGCGUAAAGCGCACGCAGGCGGCGUGGUAAGUCAGUUGUGAAACUCCCGGGCUUAACUUGGGAACUGCAGCUGAUACUGCCAUGCUUGAGUACGGAAGAGGGGAGUGGAAUUCCCAGUGUAGAGGUGAAAUGCGUAGAUAUCUGGAGGAACACCGGUGGCGAAGGCGGCAUCCUGGACCGGCAUUGACGCUGAGGAGCGAAAGCCAGGGGAGCAA